rnacentral:rRNA from 1 species
UACGGGGGGAGCAAGCGUUGUUCGGAUUUACUGGGCGGAAAGGGCGCGUAGGCGGCCACCGCAAGUCGACUGUGAAAUCUCCGGGCUUAACCCGGAAAGGUCAGCCGAUACUGCGGGGCUAGAGUGCAGAAGGGGCAACUGGAAUUCUCGGUGUAGCGGUGAAAUGCGUAGAUAUCGAGAGGAACACCUGCGGCGAAGGCGGGUCUCUGGGCAAUUCCUGACGCUGAGGCGCGAAAGCGUGGGGAGCAAACGGG